ACUCCUACGGGAGGCAGCAGUGAGGAAUAUUGGACAAUGGAGGCAACUCUGAUCCAGCCAUGCCGCGUGUAGGAAGACGGCCCUAUGGGUUGUAAACUACUUUUGUACGGGAAGAAAUACAGUCACGUGUGAUUGUUUGACGGUACCGUAAGAAUAAGCACCGGCUAACUCCGUGCCAGCAGCCGCGGUAAUACGGAGGGUGCAAGCGUUAUCCGGAAUCAUUGGGUUUAAAGGGUCCGUAGGCGGGUAAUUAAGUCAGUGGUGAAAUGCAGGGGCUCAACUCCGGCACUGCCAUUGAUACUGGUUAUCUUGAAUUAUUGUGAAGUGGUUAGAAUAUGUAGUGUAGCGGUGAAAUGCUUAGAUAUUACAUAGAAUACCGAUUGCGAAGGCAGAUCACUAACAAUAUAUUGACGCUGAUGGACGAAAGCGU
rnacentral:rRNA from 1 species